rnacentral:rRNA from 1 species
UACGUAGGCAGCGAGCGUUGUUCGGAGUUACUGGGCGUAAAGGGUGUGUAGGCGGUUGUUUAAGUUUGGUGUGAAAUCUCCCGGCUCAACCGGGAGGGUGCGCCGAAUACUGAAUGACUUGGAGUGCGGGAGAGGAAAGUGGAAUUCCUGGUGUAGAGGUGAAAUGCGUAGAUAUUGGGAGGAACACCAGUGGCGAAGGCGGCUCACUGGACCGGUACUGACGCUGAGGCGCGAAAGCGUGGGGAGCAAACAGG